AACGCACCUUGCGCUCCUUGGUAUUCCGAGGAGCAUGCCUGUUUGAGCGUCGUGAAUCUCUCAACCCACAAAUUGUUUGUUCAGUUUGUGCGGCUUGGACUUGGAGGUAUUGCUGGCGAUGGUCAGCUCCUCUUAAAUGUAUUAGCUGGGCUUAGCUCGGUGGAACGGUUAGUGUGAUAAUUAUCUGCGCUGCCUACUACAUCGGAUCCCGCUUCUAAUCGUCCGCAAGGACAAUUCACUUUGAAUCUGACCUCAAAUCAGGUAGGACUACCCGCUGAACUUAA
rnacentral:misc_RNA from 1 species